ensembl:lncRNA
UUUGUUUGUUUAAGUGAAAAUCUAGUUCUGACUUUCUCAUAUGACAGGUAGGAAAAUUCCCAUUUAAGUUUUCAAUCUGUCUUAGGGAGUCUUACAGCAAGUUUGAGAAUGUAGUACUAGGUUCAGCUGACCCACUUUUAAAUAAAAGGAUUGAAAAAAAUAAUGAGUCUUUCCACAGUCUUUUCCAUGAACACAUUACCUGAAAUAGGUUGGUCUUUUUUUUUCCAAGUGCCCACCUUUGUAUUCCCACUGCUGCCAAAUGCCUGCCCUACUCAAAAGAAUAGAGAAUUAAGCACAA